GAAAAAUAUACCCUCCAAUUGCUAUUUAUGAUAUGAUUACACAGGUCAAGUUUAAUUUCAGCAUUGUGGAUGAAUAUGUUACCCAAUCAUUGUAAUGAUGCACUCUCAAACCAGCAGUGGGGCUGAGGAUGGAAAGAAAACCUUGUUUAUAACUUGUCUGCUGAUGAUUGGAGUUUGUUAUGAAAGCGUUCUGAUGCAAUCAUCAGUGACACAAAGGUAAGGAAUGUUCGUACCCUUCUGCUAUCACCGUAACAGUAGCUGUGUGACAGGUGAGAGGUAUGGCAGAGAAGGGGCAGUAUUGCAGGAGGGAUCACUUUUCCUCAGGGCUAAAGCAAGAGCAUACUUAAUCAUACUAGUACUUUUCAGUAGUCACAUGUGCUUCAGAAGCUCCUGUGUUCAGUGGAAAGGAGCCUCCUCAAGAACGUACAACGGUCUGAGCACCGCCCUGCAGCAGCCCCCGAACCAGCAAGAUGGGCUUCUUGCAAAAGGAGGCGGCACCGCUGGAUCAAGACUGCUGAGGAUGCAGAAUUGUAGUCCCUGGAGAAAGGAACGGCUGUCUUCCACCCAUAUAACUCAAAAAGUGGAAACUUCUCAGGUCUGCUCUUCAAAUUGUAAUUCAAAGAGAUUUUGUAAAUUAGCUAAACACUCGACACCAACCUUCCCUCUCCCAGCCCCAUUCGGAAGAAGAAGAUACCUCCUCCAGAAGCCUGCUAGCAGCUAGGGAGGAAGAAAUGUGGAGAUUUUUCACUUGUUCCAGGAGGCUCUGAGUUCAGCGAGUGCUAUGGGGAAUGGUGAUAGGUGUCCUGUGACACGUACACAAAGCCCAGUGGUCAGCUACAGAAGAUGGGCAGUCAUCAAGAAUAGGGUUAAGUCCUCAACCAUGUUUUCUCCAUGUCAUGCCAUGUAGCCUACAGUCCUACCUAUCUGUACUGUUUAGGUUUAAAAUAAUCCCCUUACCUAUGAUGGACAUACCAGUGCAGAAGGCAUCACAUUUCACACGGUCCCCAGGCUACCUCAAUUCGAACUAGCAGAAGCUACAACACAGUGCUGUGUUGUACCAUUUAGGUGUGCUCUUCCUUGGAAACCUCCUGAGGUCUCUCCAGUGUAAAAGUGGAAAGUCUUGACAGAGAUGCACACAGAUGGAGAAAGCAAAGAAAUGCUCAUUGGUCGUCCUGUUGUUUCAGCUAAAGCCUGCAGGCAACAUGACCAGGGGCAGAGCAAAG
rnacentral:lncRNA from 1 species